rnacentral:rRNA from 1 species
UACGUAGGGUGCAAGCGUUGUCCGGAAUUAUUGGGCGUAAAGAGCUCGUAGGCGGUUUGUCGCGUCUGCUGUGAAAUCUGGGGGCUCAACCCCCAGCCUGCAGUGGGUACGGGCAGACUAGAGUGCGGUAGGGGAGAUUGGAAUUCCUGGUGUAGCGGUGGAAUGCGCAGAUAUCAGGAGGAACACCGAUGGCGAAGGCAGGUCUCUGGGCCACUACUGACGCUGAGAAGCGAAAGCAUGGGGAGCGAACAGG